rnacentral:lncRNA from 1 species
GCAUUCGAAAUAAGCUCAUGGCAAACACAAUAUCACUGAAGGAAGCGAGAACCUUUGCAAUGCUCUGGGGAGGAGUCCAGCUGCCCUCAUCCCCAGUCACCCUGCGGGGUGCUGGCCAGCCUUCCCAGAGCCAAGAAAGGGCCCCGCUGGACUCCUGGCUACACACAUGUAAGUUGAUGGCUGAUGCUGACAAAACUGAGACACUUAGGCAGCAAUUGUUCUCUGCCUAGAGGCACCAUCAUCCCAGCCCUAGCCUCUUCCUGUUCUGUUUAUUUCUGAAAACAGGUUGCCGUGCCUGCAACUUUUAUUCCUUUGGGGAACUAACCCUUCUGCUCUCCUUGUGGUCCUGUGGGACUGUCAGUCACUGUUUCCCUCCUCUAGCCCCAGCCUCUUGCCACCAAGGUGGGCAGGUGUGCCCAGCUGAAACAGCUAGAGUGCCACAUCUCAAACACAGUAACUGGUAUAGGUGUGCACAGCUUGGCAAGUCCUCACAUUUCCAGGUGCAUAUGCAUAAGUGUCAAGAGGAGGCUUGCUUUCCACUGACUGCCAAGCUGGGGCCAUGUAAGCCUGGAACUGCUAGCAGCCAUCUUCCCUGACUACGUGAAAGAGGCCCACCUGCAGUAGGGGGAGAAUUAGACUCACACAGGAACAAACAAUCAGAGCAGAACCAAGAGGAGGAGAAAAGAAAAAGACCACCAUUUGUGUCGCUGGAUCUGAACUUACCUGAAGACAAACACCCCUGAAUGUCUCAGCUUGAAGAACAGACUGUGGCAAAGGAGAAGCUAAGAUGGGCCAGUGAGUUUCUCAACCACACGCCCACACUCCUCUCCAGAAGUCAGCAGCCUCCUGUCCAGUGCAGGAGAGUCCACCGUCCUCCACACCAUCCUAUGGAAAGGCAGGCCACAUACGUAGCUUGGAAUUGUCCUGUGGACACACUUUUCAAAAAGAAAAAAAACAUGAAAUAAAUUUCAAUAAUACAGUCUGUUUAACCCAAUAUGUCUAGAAUAUUGUAAUUUUUCAUUGCUUCAGACAAAUAAUAAAAUAGUAUCAUUUCAUUUUGAUCAAUAUAAAAAUGUUAUUGACUAUUUCACUUUUCGUGGAACCUAGCCUUCAAACACCUGCGUGUAUUUUAUACACAUUGAACAUCUCAAUUUGGACUAGUCACAUUUUAGAGGCUCAGUAGUUCCACGUGGCUAAUGGCUGCUAUAUUGAACUGUGGGGGCUUAAAUUACAAAGCUUCACACAUGUAGAUUUGAGGAAAGCAUAGUAUCAAAUCUAGGAUGCAUUUGUUCUCAUGUUUUGACUUUCUACAAUGCAAUGCAGGUUUUCUUGCCAUAAGAUUAAAACACAAAGGCUGCAUUGAUUUUUCUCUUUUUCUCCUACAUUUCUGCAAUAGAUUCCUUUGGCAUGCCUUAAAUUUGGGGCAUGUGUAAAUAAUAGGCACCAAUACUUUCCUGCCAAGGACAGA